rnacentral:rRNA from 1 species
AGAGUUUGAUCAUGGCUCAGGAUGAACGCUAGCUACAGGCUUAACACAUGCAAGUCGAGGGGCAGCAUGUUGGUUGCUUGCAACCAAUGAUGGCGACCGGCGCACGGGUGAGUAACGCGUAUCCAACCUGCCCACCACUUGGGGAUAACCUUGCGAAAGUAAGACUAAUACCCAAUGACGUCUCUAGAAGACAUCUGAAAGGGAUUAAAGAUUUAUCGGUGAUGGAUGGGGAUGCGUCUGAUUAGCUUGUUGGCGGGGUAACGCCACCAAGGCUACGAUCAGGUAGGGUUCUGAGAGGAACGGUCCCCCACAUUGGAACUGAGACACGGUCCAAACUCCUACGAGAGGCA